rnacentral:rRNA from 1 species
UACGUAGGGUGCAAGCGUUGUCCGGAAUUAUUGGGCGUAAAGAGCUCGUAGGCGGUGUGUCGCGUCGGCCGUGAAAACCCGCAGCUCAACUGUGGGCUUGCAGCUGAUACGGGCAGGCUUGAGUUCGGUAGGGGAGACUGGAAUUCCUGGUGUAGCGGUGAAAUGCGCAGAUAUCAGGAGGAACACCGGUGGCGAAGGCGGGUCUCUGGGCCGAUACUGACGCUGAGGAGCGAAAGCGUGGGGAGCGAACAGG